rnacentral:ncRNA from 1 species
CUAUAACUGUCAAACUAUAGGGCAGUUUUAAAAUUUGGCCAUAUGCUGGAAUAACUCGAGAAUCCGACAGUACCGAAAGGUAAAAAUCUGUUCGGUGGAGUCAAUCAGCAGGAAAGAUCCCGCCCCAUCGGUGGGAAAUCCUCAGAGACUACACGCCAAACCCUCUUGAAAAAGAGUGAUGAUAUAGUCCGAUCUCUGUAGCGAUACAGAG